AGUGAACGCUGGCGGUAGGCCUAACACAUGCAAGUCGAACGGCAGCACAGUAAGAGCUUGCUCUUACGGGUGGCGAGUGGCGGACGGGUGAGGAAUACAUCGGAAUCUACUUUUUCGUGGGGGAUAACGUAGGGAAACUUACGCUAAUACCGCAUACGACCUACGGGUGAAAGCAGGGGAUCUUCGGACCUUGCGCGAUUGAAUGAGCCGAUGUCGGAUUAGCUAGUUGGCGGGGUAAAGGCCCACCAAGGCGACGAUCCGUAGCUGGUCUGAGAGGAUGAUCAGCCACAGUGGAACUGAGAGACGGCCCAGACUCCUACGGGAGGCAGCAGUGGGGAAUAUUGGACAAUGGGCGCAAGCCUGAACCAGCCAUACCGCGUGGGUGAAGAAGGCCUUCGGGUUGUAAAGCCCUUUUGUUGGGAAAGAAAAGCAGCAGGUGAAUACCCCGCUGUUCUGACGGUACCCAAAGAAUAAGCACCGGCUAACUUCGU
rnacentral:rRNA from 1 species